AUUGAACGCUGGCGGCAGGCCUAACACAUGCAAGUCGAACGGCAGCACAGAAGAGCUUGCUCUUUGGGUGGCGAGUGGCGGACGGGUGAGUAAUGUCUGGGAAACUGCCCGAUGGAGGGGGAUAACUACUGGAAACGGUAGCUAAUACCGCAUAACGUCGCGAGACCAAAGUGGGGGACCUUCGGGCCUCACACCAUCGGAUGUGCCCAGAUGGGAUUAGCUAGUAGGUGGGGUAAUGGCUCACCUAGGCGACGAUCCCUAGCUGGUCUGAGAGGAGGACCAGCCACACUGGAACUGAGACACGGUCCAGACUCCUACGGGAGGCAGCAGUGGGGAAUAUUGCACAAUGGGCGCAAGCCUGAUGCAGCCAUGCCGCGUGUAUGAAGAAGGCCUUCGGGUUGUAAAGUACUUUCAGCGGGGAGGAAGGCGGUGAGGUUAAUAACCUCGCCGAUUGACGUUACCCGCAGAAGAAGCACCGGCUAACUCCGUGCCAGCAGCCGCCGCAG
rnacentral:rRNA from 1 species